ACGCGCAGUGGCUUUGAAGGCGGGGCAACAAAGCCUGUGGCCGAUGUGGCGCUCCUGGGCCCGCGCUUCAGUGGUUAUGACAGUGUUCGCUCUAAGGGGAGAAGGAAUGUGUGACCAUUUCCAACGGUUAACUUGCAUUCCCCAGAUAGUUUGGAUGAGUUACAACCUAAAUCUGCAAACUCAAUACAGCCAGACCCUGGGAAGUGACCCUCUCCAAGCCUCCUGUACAAGUCCCAGGAAAAGAGCCUGUUUUCCCUUGGACAUGUGAGCAGUGAAUUACUGCUCAUUCAGAAUUUCAUGUAGAUAGUGUCUCGCUAUGUUGCCCACGCUGGUCUGGAAUUCCUGGACUCAAGGCCUCUUCCUGCCCUCAGCCUUCCAAAGUGUUAGGAUUACAGGGUGAGUCACCACGCCCAGCCAGUGUGAAUUUUCUAAUGCUGAGUAAGUUGUGAUCCAGAAGUAAAUGUAUCUGCAAGCUGAUUUAAAUUGUAGAUUUUCUCUUCAUUGCAUAUUUUCUGAUGUUGAAUAAAGUCUGAGUAUUAACUAAAGUUUUUGCUUCUUAAAUAUGUAAGAAUUGUCCUCAAAAUCUCUAUUCUUGAGCACAGUAGUAAAAAUAUUUUUACAUACAUUGUAUUUCAAGGGUUCUGCAUAAGCAACCUUGUUUUAUUGUGACAAUUUAUUUGGGAAUUGUAUCAAAUAUAUAAUACUGAGAUGUUCUCAUUCCUUUUGUGAAAAUACUUUUGUUUAAAAACCACUGCCUUCAAAUGAAAACCACUAGGUUUGUUAUGCUUGCCU